rnacentral:tRNA from 1 species
GGUGACUAUAGUUUAAUGGUAGAACAGCGGGUUGUGGUCCCGUUGGCGAGGGUUCGAUUCCCUCUAGCCACCC